AAAAAAAUCUGGUGUCACCUUAACAGAUCUAAAGGAGAUGUCCUUGUUUCCGGACGGCCCCUUCUUUCCUUAAUCUGGUGCCGGAUGGGGUGGGGCACGGUGCGGGCUUCCGGCGGAAGCGCUGGAAGCAAGAUGGCGGCCGCCGAGAGGGUUCACAAAGGGUAGGGUGGUGUGGAGCAAGGCAGGGUCCUCGCAGGCAGUGCCAAGAUUGAGCUGGGGGUGGGCAGAGUGGGCGGGGUGCGGACCCAUGGCCUUACGCAUCCUGGGCCAGGUCUCUUGUGGUGCUUCACGCUCUCGACCUGUGAGUGGUGCCUGCUAGAGCUGCCCAGAUCCCUUUUCCCUACCCCUUCUGACCCUGGACCCAGAGUGGUGGUUGCGAUCUGCUACCGUGACGUCAGCCCUCAUUCGUUCGUUCCACAAACUCCACAGCUCUGGUCCAUUAGAGGAAGGAGGUCCCAGAAUAGCUGGGAAAUUACGAGAACAGCCUCACUGCACGAGUUGGUGAAUGCUGUGGUGCGAUUGUAUGAUGGACGGUGAUGUUGAAACCAGACUGGGGAAUGACCGCCCCAUCCGGAGAGAAAAGCACCAAGGAUUCUCUUUUGUUGAAUUUGAGUUGGCAGAGUUUGGUCAGAUGAAGACUGGGUGGAGAAGUUUGCUGGGAAGAGGAUAAAGAGGAAGGUGGUUGAGACUUCCCAAAGCAGAAAGCCAGGAGGUGUACAUGGACAUCAAGAUUGGGAACAAGCCGG
rnacentral:lncRNA from 1 species